rfam:Brachypodium distachyon strain Bd21 chromosome 1, whole genome shotgun sequence.
GAUGUACUACCUCCGUUCCAUAAUUCUUGUCUCAAAUUUGCCCCAAAAUGGAUGUAUCUAUUAUAAAAAAAUGUCUAGAUACAUGUAAUAUUUUGACAAGAAUUAUGGGAUGGAGGGAGUAUCUC